rnacentral:piRNA from 1 species
CUCAGUUGUGUUUGGAUAACUUAGGGUGUA